AACCUGCCUUCCAGAGGGGGGACAACAGUUGGAAACGACUGCUAAUACCGCAUGACGCAUUGGUGUCGCAUGGCACUGAUGUCAAAGAUUUAUCGCUGGAAGAUGGCCUCGCGUCUGAUUAGCUAGUUGGUGAGGUAACGGCCCACCAAGGCGACGAUCAGUAGCCGGACUGAGAGGUUGGCCGGCCACAUUGGGACUGAGAUACGGCCCAGACUCCUACGGGAGGCAGCAG
rnacentral:rRNA from 1 species